rnacentral:rRNA from 1 species
GUGCCAGCCCCCGCGGUAAUACGGAGGGGUGCAAGCGGUAAUUGGGAAUUACUGGGCGUAAAGGGCACGCAGGCGGUUUGUUAAGUCAGAUGUGAAAUCCCCGGGCUCAACCUGGGGAACUGCAUUUGAUACUGGCAAGCUUGAGUCUCGUAGAGGGGGGUAGAAUUCCAGGUGUAGCGGUGAAAUGCGUAGAGAUCUGGAGGAAUACCGGUGGCGAAGGCGGCCCCCUGGACGAAGACUGACGCUCAGGUGCGAAAGCGUGGGGAGCAAACAGGAUUAGAUACCCUGGUAGUCC